GCUUGUCUCAAAGAUUAAGCCAUGCAUGUCUCAGUAUAAGUUCCUGUACGGCGAAACUGCGAAUGGCUCAUUAAAACAGUUACAGUUUAUUUGAUGGUCGUUCCUUACAUGGAUAACUGUAGAAAAACUAGAGCUAAUACAUGCCAUAACCGUAAGGUUGUAUUUAUUAGAUAUUCCUGGUAGGUGAUUCAUAAUAACUUAGCGAAUCGUGACUCGUUCACGAUAAAUCAUUCAAGUUUCUGCCCUAUCAUGCUUUCGAUGGUAGUGUAUUGGACUACCAUGGCUCUCACGGGUAACGGAGAAUUAGGGUUCGAUUCCGGAGAAGGAGCCUGAGAAACGGCUACUACAUCUAAGGAAGGCAGCAGG
rnacentral:rRNA from 1 species